rnacentral:lncRNA from 1 species
AUGCAUUCCCCUUGCAUGCAUGCAAAACUAAAUGUAAAACAAAGGAAUUUUUCUUAUUUCUGUGUAUGUGUGUGUUCAUGUAUACCAUGUGUGUGUGCACACAGGUGCCCAUGGAAUUUAAAGGAGUGCCUCGGAUCCCCUGGAACUGGAGUUAUAAGCAGUCAAACCUGGGCCCUCUGCAGGAGUAGGAAAUGCUCUUACCUGCUGAGCCAUCUUUCGAGCUCUGACUUGAGGCAUCUCAGUGGAUCGGCUUCUUCAGUAUAUUUGAAACUUCUGGUGCCUGGAUCUCUCCCUGACCCCAAAGAUUCCAAAGAGAUUGAUGUGUGUGAAGAUGACAACCAAGAUUAACUAUCAAUUCCACUUUAAGAAUGAAGAUGGCAGUGUUGCCAAUGGGCUAGGUGAGGCCACAUAACUAGUUAAAUGACUUCAUGCAGAUCUGCUUGUUAUCUACCUCAAUGACUUCCUCUAAGUGCUUUUCUGGAGCCAAACUGGACCCCCCACUAGGGAGGACAGCAAAGCACUGUCAUUAUCUGUAGGUGUGAUCACAGGCUCUCCCGAUGGGUUCUGCCUGUCCUGAGGGCAUCCGCUUUCAGGUGCUCAUCCAAAGACAAGGCCAGAGCCAGCAUCUGGAGUCACUGAGGGCUUGGUAGGGAGUCCUGGAGGCUGCUGUUUCCAUAGGUGUGUCCUGCAGAAGCACUGAGAGCCACUGUCCCUGGUGAUACUCUUCUUUGCCUAUCCCAGGCUUGGAUUCUCCAGAUGGAACGGGAUCUGUCACUAAGUCUCUGCAUCCUCAGGGCACCCUGGCCCCCAAUACAGAGAAGGGAUCUCCCUGGCCAGCCCAGGGUACAUUUGAGAGCUAUCAUGCAUGUCCUGUGAUACUGACUUCAGCCCAGGUCUGGGACCUGGUACAGCUGCAACCUCUCUUCUAGAGGCUUCUGAAGAGUGUCAGUUUCCUGUUACUGCUGUAAGAAAUGUCCGUGUACUUGAUGGCUUAGAAGAGCACACAGCUGGGACUGGAGCAAUGGCUCAGUGGUUGGGAGCACUGGCUGCUUUUCCAUGGCAACCGACAACUGUCUGUAACUCCAGUUCCAGGGAGUCUGACACCUUUGUACCAAUGCACAUAAAAUAAAGUUGAAUAAUUUUUUAAAAGAAGCA